GUCCUCUGCUGGGCAGAAAAGAAAAAGAAUAACAGUUAAUUUGUACAAUCCUAUAUUUGUAUUGCAUUGGCUAGUUUGUCCACUGCAUCUUGUGUUUACAGUAUCCUUAACCUUCUAUGUACAGAAGUCACUCAGCAGAGGUGUCCCAGUGGCAUAGCAGAGGAGGAAUAUAAACAUCCUGAAAAAUCAUCAUGAACCUGAACUUCAGCCCAGUCAAGUCUCGCUUAUCUAGCAUGCAUAAUUUUCAGGACUCAAAGAAAUAAAGCAUACCUUAGGAUGAUGUUAAAUCUCGUUAUUCCAUAGCUUAUUACUGAGAUGCUAUGUCCUGGUACAUUCCAAAGUGAUAAAUGAAUAGCAAACAGUUUUUUGCCAGGGCGACUCUAAUGCAUUGCAUCUUGCGAAUGCUCCACUAGAGCUGAUCAUUUGACAACCGAAUCUUGUAUUCAGAUCAACUGCCGCGUGGAACUUGACCCAAGCAUUCGCAAUGUCUUGUCUGACAACUUGAAGCAACUAGGGACUUGCAUCAGAUGUUACCAACGUAUUCAUCCACAUCGAUACCAUGCUCUCCACUUUCCUUCUCAAUUCUAGUGUUCGAGUACACUCUAACAGAAGUCAAGAGAGGGAUAAAAAUAUAGCUCCAAUGUUGACAUGGUUCAUACAGUGAAUUUAGCUGUACCAGCACCUAACCAUCCACCUUCAACUCCAUUAAUCGUCCUUGCUGCCAUGUCCCUUCAUCCAUCUAUUCCUCGUCUAGUUUUCCAUGCCAAAAAAUGUAUUAUCUGGCAUUGCUUUCUUGGGAUCCUGAAAAUGAAGUGCGUCUUGUUGAAUUAAGGUGCACUCACAGCAUAUGUGCUGCGGUGCACGUACGCAUAAUCUACCAAUUACCCAAUCAGCCCAUUUCACACCUCUCCCAUACCAACAACAACAACAACAACAACAGCCAAUCACACUCCAUCAUGCGUAUGCAUGCUGGACAGCCAAUUGGCUGCGGUGUGCAUACGCAUUAUUUCCUCCUCACGACGAGACGUGGCCUAAAUCAUCCCCAAGUGCGUGCACAUAAAGCAUGUAGGCUACGCUGUUCGUAGCUGUGGUCUGUACGCCAGUUGCAUAGCAACCGACUCAGAGGUACCAUGUCAAACACUUCUUGCACUUCUUGCUUCGACAGAAGUGUUCAAAUGAAAUCUGAGUUCACGUGGGCUAAAUCGAUGAAUGUGAAGCUAAAUUUCUUCUCUCUAACCUAAACCGGUAGUUCGAACAAACAAAGUAUUACACAGCCCCUCUCUUCUUUCGAGCGUCGUCCCCGACGCUCCCCUUGGUCAGCCUCCCGUGUCAGCCAUCACAACGUAAUCUGUGCUGCGAGAAGCACCCACGAGCUAACCAUCCCAGUUGUCGAGAUUCGAACGCAUGUGUUCCUGUAGUGCUAUCAAUUCCGCGUAGCACUCAGUGCAGCAAAUGCGCGCUCCUUGGCCGUCCUCUCCCACGACACUGUGGUCCCAUGAAAGAUGGAGGUACGAAUCCAAGCUUUCGAAUGAGUCGAGCCUCACACAACACAUAUUGCGAUUCCAGGCUUAAUUGAUACCGUGGAAGAAACGCAAGGGCAUCGUAGAAACCUGAGCAAAUGUGGCGGUCGGGCGUCAUAGGAACAAAAUGCAUGCGAUCCAAGUGUGCAAAGCAUAAAACGAUGUUAUCCAAUGGCAUCCUGCACAUUCUACAUCUGGCAACAGGAGAGAGAGCUUACGGAGGAUGCUUGACCACAACGUCGCAGGUCUCUCUUGGCAGUUCCACUGCACUUGGAGUUCACGGCUAGUGUCGCUUCAGUUGUUAAUAGCUUCCCUCCCUGUCGAACACGAGGGCGAGGGAGAUGCCGAAGCUGGACGUCGAUCUCAGCCCUUGUUACGAGAUACCAGAGGUUCUCUCAUCCAUAGCACAUGCACUUCUUUCACACCGCCAAAAUUUGCUAGAAGCGACAUGGAGCAGGAUAAAAUCCAUCGAAGUCGGAUCCACUUUCCGCUGUCACCAAUGUAGCGUCCCGAGACUCCCUUUAAGGUAAAAGAAGGCAUAGUACGGGGGGUGGAAUACAU
rnacentral:misc_RNA from 1 species